rnacentral:rRNA from 1 species
UCCAGACUCCUACGGGAGGCAGCAGUCGGGAAUAUUGCGCAAUGGAGGAAACUCUGACGCAGUGACGCCGCGUGCAGGAAGAAGGUUUUCGGAUUGUAAACUGCUUUAGAUAGGGAAGAAAAAAAUGACAGUACCUAUAGAAUAAGCUCCGGCUAACUACGUGCCAGCAGCCGCGGUAAUACGUAGGGAGCGAGCGUUAUCCGGAUUUAUUGGGUGUAAAGGGUGCGUAGAUGGAUAAACAAGUUGGUUGUGAAAUCCCUCGGCUUAACUGAGGAAUUGCAACCAAAACUGUAGAUCUUGAGUACUGGAGGGGAAAGCGGAAUUCCUAGUGUAGCGGUGAAAUGCGUAGAUAUUAGGAGGAACACCAGUGGCGAAGGCGACUUUCUGGACAGUAACUGACGUUGAGGCACGAAAGUGUGGGGAGCAAACAGGAUUAGAUACCCCUGUA